UGUGUGGAGAGCUCCAUGUGACAAGGGAGGUCUGCAGCCUAAGCAACUGAGACCUCAGCCCAACAGCCCUCAAAGAACUGGAUCUUCAAACAACCACAUGAGUGACCUAGAAGCAAAUCUGUCACCAGUGCUCUUGAGACGGAGAAAAGAUCAUGAUCUAAGAGUCUACAAGACCAGAGCAGCCUGAAUUGCUGAGCUGCCUGGUGGAGAAUAGCAGCAUUGGGUGGUUCCCAGGAUUCUUAAAAGGACUUUACAAAGGAUUAGGUUGAGGUUCUGCAUUUUUGGCAAGAAUACCACAGAUGUGAUGCUGUACCUUUCUCAGUGCAGCCUAUGAGGUGGUUCAUGAAGAAAAUGUAUCAUAUUAUCAGUGAAUGUUAUCCUCGUUCCCUUAGUGAAGGUGGUACCUGCCAGCUUCUACACUGUAAUGGGUAUUCUUAUUAAAUCUGAUUAUCACUCUUCUAAUUGCUACUGAAACCAGGAAAAAAAAGCUCAGAAAAGAUGUCAUAUAUCUUCAAAUUGUUUAAAUAAAAUUAAUCACAGAU
rnacentral:lncRNA from 10 species